CCAUGUAUUACAGCCUGCUCAAAUCGAGCUGGUUAGAAUUCUCUCAAGCGUUAACCAGCCUGUGCGCGCGAUGUUUUCGCGGAAUCUGAGCUGAUAAGAGCUCCCUUCUUCUCCGUUAUUCGCACGCGCGAUGGUUUCGCGGAAUCAAAGCUGUCUCCCUCUCACAAAGCCGAAGCCUUCUCUCCCAGCUCCCUCUAUUCACAUGAGCACAAGAGGCGAACCCCUAUUUCGCCGCCUCCAUUCGCGGCAAGCAGGGAUCUAACGCCCCCAACCCUUCGUAUCCCCUCGCUCGUGUGGACAAUAGCCCUAGCCGGAUCCCUCACUUCCUCUGUCCUAGCUGACGCCGGGAACCUUCUUAUCUUUUUAACUUCUUCUACAUCCUCUUCAUCAUCUUUUUCUUCAUUCCUUCACUUUUUUUUUCUCCCAAUCUUUUCCUCCUCUCAUUCUUGAAUUUUAUUUUUGCAUUUAAAAAAUGCAUCGGAAAGGGUAAUCUGAGAUUUUCUUGUUAAAAUCUGAAACAAAAUUGUUUUCCAUCCACUCUUGAUAAUUAGGGAAGUGAUGAAGAUCUGUGAAAAAUGUUGUUCUGAAUGAAUUGGUUGCUUAUAUAUAAAUGACUUGUCUAUACCUACAUAUCAACCAUUUCCUGUGACUAUCCUUAUGAGUUCUCUCUUGAUGGAAUGCUUUUGUUUAGAUUCUAAUGCAUGAGGUUUCUUCCGUUUGAAAGUUUCAGCAUUGAAAGUUGGCUUUUCAGUAUCUUUUGAAAGGAUGUUUUUAGUUUUGAUGAAUUUGUAAUGUGUGGUGAUUUUAUAUAUAGUAUCCAACACCCUUUCAUGAAUAUUUAUGAAAUAAAAACAAUUUACCCAUCAAACAAUCCACUGUUCACUCACGUGAUCUUCUUUGGUGAAUGAAGACAAUUUCCAAUUGAUGCUCAUAGUACUCAUAGAGCUGCCUCGAGAGAGAAGAAAUGCUGCUUGGAUUAGAUAGAUUUACAUGCCAUCCAUUCUUCCAAAGCGGUGACAAUUUAGUGAAGAAAAGUUUUUGUAGGCCUCCCUCAGAACCUUACAGUAACAGUUGUGAGCUACAUGGGAAAGCUAACUUUGGUCAUGGGAAUAGAGAGGGACUUCAUAGACUCGAAUCUACUGAUUUCUUCAAUGAAAAUAUCAUUUCAAAGGAUCUUUGCGGUAGCCAUGGGCAAUAUCUAAAGUUUUGCUGGACAAAAGUAAAGGAAUUUCCUUGUAGAAAUCCACAUGAUGAGUAUGUUAUCCCAUUCAUAUUUAUACUGAGUUUUGUGUUGUUAGUAUCUUUUAAAAUGAAAUGAAAGGCGAUUAUAUACUUAUCAUAGGAUUUCCAUAAGGAAUGCUUUGUUGGAUUUCAGUCCUGUUUCACAUAUAUCAUAUCAGGUCAAUCAAGCUCAAUUUCUUUAUAUAUAUAAAUGCCCAGUGUAUCUGUUUAGUUGUAUAAUAUGAGGCUUUAAUUUGAUACAUGAUUCUUUGAUUUGAAUUUGAAAGCAAAAGCCUACUGCAUUUAGAUCUUUUCAAUGUGAGUCCAUGUUUAUUGUAUUUGUUUCUACAUUAACGAAUAUAUUAAUUGUUGGAAUGUAAUUUGCAUUGAUCAUUCAUUAUUGGUGUUAUUGAAUAGAGAUCCUACGAAACCAUUAUAGAAAAUAUGUUUUUUUGGCUUUUUUCGGAUGUGAAAAAGUCUUUUAUGGGAUGCAAUUAGAACCCUAAACAUUUAUUUUACAUUACAUUUACUUUACACUUCAUUUUGUUUUAGGCAACCAAACAGCCCCUAAGACAUUCAAAUGCCUAAUAAAUGCUUCAUAAUCAAGGGGUUCAAUAUCAUCUGUCAAUUCAAACAAGUCCCAACAUACGCUUUAUCUCCCUCCUAUUUACUAAUCAUGCUACUAAAAAAAACUAUAAAUAGACCUCUCAUUCUUCAUUUAAGGAAACCCAAGUAAGGAAGAGAUCAAAGAGUGAUAAAUUAGAGUUCUCUUACCACCAGACUCCUAAAGCACCAUUAGACCACCGAUUAUUGUUGGACUAUAGUCGAGCAUUUGCUUGGCCAUCAACUGACGCGGAUUUCUCCACGGUCACCUAGUAUCACCUGACAUCAACUAUGUUGCAAAUUGACGUCAGAUUACUGUCUGGCCACCAACUGUCGUUGGACUUCUCCUUGGCCACCAACUAAGCCGAAUUUAUGCCCGGUCAUUGACUAUCGUUGCACUUCAACUUGGCUACAAAUUUAUGCAGGAUUUUUGCCCUGCCAUCAAUUGCCGCUGGACUUCAACUCAGCUACCAACUGACGUCACAUUUUUACCACCUUCUGUCGCCGAAGUUUCAUCUAAUUCCUAUUUGUCGCUAGAUUUCAUCAUGUUGGUUGGUUAUUAUAAUCUGAUAUCCCUCAAGUUUAAGGAUGAGUUAAUUAUUUGUAAUUUAUUCAAAUACUAGUGGAUCAAUUUGACUGGGCGUGGCCUGGUGGUUUUUUAAA